AUUGAACGCUGGCGGCAGGCUUAACACAUGCAAGUCGAGCGGAGGUGAGGUGCUUGCACCUUAUCUUAGCGGCGGACGGGUGAGUAAUGCUUAGGAAUCUGCCUAUUAGUGGGGGACAACAUUCCGAAAGGAAUGCUAAUACCGCAUACGUCCUACGGGAGAAAGCAGGGGAACUUCGGACCUUGCGCUAAUAGAUGAGCCUAAGUCGGAUUAGCUAGUUGGUGGGGUAAAGGCCUACCAAGGCGACCAUCUGUAGCGGGUCGGAGAGGAUGAUCCGCCAGACUGGGACUGAGACAAGGCCCAGACUCCGACGGGAGGCAGCAGUGGGGAAUAUUGGACAAUGGGGGGAACCCUGAUCCAGCCAUGCCGCGUGUGUGAAGAAGGCCUUAUGGUUGUAAAGCACUUUAAGCGAGGAGGAGGCUACUGAGACUAAUACUCUUGGAUAGUGGACGUUACUCGCAGAAUAAGCACCGGCUAACUCUGUGCCAGCAGCCGCCGUAA
rnacentral:rRNA from 1 species